rnacentral:misc_RNA from 1 species
UCCUCCCUCAAACCCCGGGUUUGGUGUUGGACCCAAGUUGUGCGAACAACUGGUCCUAAAGACAAUGACGGCGUCCGUGGGACCCUCGGUGCAACGAGCUUGGUGAAGCACGCGUCGAGUUUCAAGGACCUUCCGGGCCGGUCUCCUUCAUUAUUACCAA